GACGAACGCUGGCGGCGUGCCUAAUACAUGCAAGUUGAGCGCUGAAGGUUGGUACUUGUACCGACUGGAUGAGCUGCGAACGGGUGAGUAACGCGUGGGGAAUCUGCCUUUGAGCGGGGGACAACAUUUGGAAACGAAUGCUAAUACCGCAUAAAAACUUUAAACACAAGUUUUAAGUUUGAAAGAUGCAAUUGCAUCACUCAAAGAUGAUCCCGCGUUGUAUUAGCUAGUUGGUGAGGUAAAGGCUCACCAAGGCGAUGAUACAUAGCCGACCUGAGAGGGUGAUCGGCCACAUUGGGACUGAGACACGGCCCAAACUCCUACGGGAGGCAGCAGUAGGGAAUCUUCGGCAAUGGACGAAAGUCUGACCGAGCAACGCCGCGUGAGUGAAGAAGGUUUUCGGAUCGUAAAACUCUGUUGGUAGAGAAGAACGUUGGUGAGAGUGGAAAGCUCAUCAAGUGACGGUAACUACCCAGAAAGGGACGGCUAACUACGUG
rnacentral:rRNA from 1 species